rnacentral:rRNA from 1 species
UACGUAGGGUGCAAGCGUUAAUCGGAAUUACUGGGCGUAAAGCGUGCGCAGGCGGUUUUGUAAGUCUGUCGUGAAAUCCCCGGGCUCAACCUGGGAAUUGCGAUGGAGACUGCAAGGCUAGAAUCUGGCAGAGGGGGGUAGAAUUCCACGUGUAGCAGUGAAAUGCGUAGAUAUGCGGAGGAACACCGAUGGCGAAGGCAAUCCCCUGGGCCUGCACUGACGCUCAUGCACGAAAGCGUGGGGAGCAAACAGG